rnacentral:rRNA from 1 species
AGGAUUAGCGGCGAACGGGUGAGGAACACGUGAGGAAUCUGCCUUCAACACUGGGAUAACUCCGGGAAACCGGGGCUAAUACCGGAUGUCCUCGCCGAAGCUCAUGCUUUGGUGAGGAAAUGGAUUCCGCUUCGGGAUGGCCUCGCGGCCUAUCAGCUUGUUGGUGAGGUAAUGGCUCACCAAGGCGACGACGGGUAGCCGGCCUGAGAGGGCGACCGGCCACACUGGGACUGAGACACGGCCCAGACUCC